rnacentral:ncRNA from 3 species
AUCUCGCUGGGGCCUCCA